rnacentral:rRNA from 1 species
AUUGAACGCUGGCGGCAUGCUUUACACAUGCAAGUCGAACGGUAACAGGCCGCAAGGUGCUGACGAGUGGCGAACGGGUGAGUAAUGCAUCGGAACGUGCCCAGUCGUGGGGGAUAACGCAGCGAAAGCUGCGCUAAUACCGCAUACGAUCUAUGGAUGAAAGCGGGGGACCGUAAGGCCUCGCGCGAUUGGAGCGGCCGAUGUCAGAUUAGGUAGUUGGUGAGGUAAAGGCUCACCAAGCCAACGAUCUGUAGCUGGUCUGAGAGGACGACCAGCCACACUGGGACUGAGACACGGCCCAGACUCCUACGGGAGGCAGCAGUGGGGAAUUUUGGACAAUGGGCGCAAGCCUGAUCCAGCAAUGCCGCGUGCAGGAAGAAGGCCUUCGGGUUGUAAACUGCUUUUGUACGGAACGAAACGGCUCUCACUAAUACUGGGGGCUAAUGACGGUACCGUAAGAAUAAGCACCGGCUAACUACGUGCCAGCAGCCGCCGCAGUAA